UGCAACAGUAAAUACAUGGAGAGGUCACCAAUAUUGGGAAGUUAAUACAAAAAAGUUAAGUAUUAUAUAAAAGGUGAAGGGUGACAUUUAAAGAGAGGGAUUCAUUUUUUGCAAUAGUAAAUGCAUGAAGAGGUCACUAAUUCUGGGAAGUCAAGACUGAAAGG